AAUCUCCAAUAAUAUAUAUAUUUUUUGCUUCUGUUAGGAUUUUCCUAUUCCCGUUGCUUUGGUUGAGAACAGUGGGAGAUGCAACAAGAAUGAAAAUGAUGAGAAGAUCCUCACAACUGGGCUUCCUUGGAUUCCCAAUUUGGUUCAUACAAUUACAGACAUCGCCUUAAAUGGGAGCAAGAGUGUUGUUGUUGACAAGAAGUUGAUUGAAGGGCCAAAUGCUAAUGAUAGGGGGAAGUUAUUUAUCCCUCUCAUCUUAUUAUUCGAGUACCUCUUUAUUGUCAAACCGAUUCAAAAGUGGAUCAAAGACGAUAUUGCAAGAGAGACUAGACCCUCAUGGGAAUGAAUAAGCAUAUCUGGGAACUUUUUUCGUAGUGUCAUUGUUUCCCUCCACCCCUGUAUUUCACCGUUUCCCAAUUCUUGGUGCGUCAUUGGUGUCAUCCACCUUGCUCCGGCUGUCGAAUUUAAUUUAAAGUUUUACUUUGAGAGCUUUCUUUUCUAUUUUUUGUUUAGUCUUGACUAUUAUGCUUCUUUGUUCUGAAUGACUUGAAAUCAAACUUUGUACUUCUGUUAGUGGGUUUUUUGGUUUUCUGGACAUUAUGGUUGUAUUCUACUUAAUCAAAAAUUUAAUGACACUUUUAUAAUUAAUUUA